rnacentral:tRNA from 1 species
GGUCGCUUAGCUCAGCUGGAUAGAGCGUUGCCCUCCGGAGGCAAAGGUCAGAGGUUCGAAUCCUCUAGCGAUCA